rnacentral:antisense_RNA from 1 species
CUUGAUGGAGCCCAGGUACAGCGGCACGUCGCGGUCCUGGCCGUAGGUGGCCAGCAACGCCUGCGCCUC